rnacentral:rRNA from 1 species
CAAACCAAAGCUGGCGACCGGCGCACGGGUGAGUAACACGUAUCCAACCUGCCACAUACUCGGGGAUAGCCUUUCGAAAGAAAGAUUAAUAUCCGAUAGCAUAUAUUUCCCGCAUGGGUUUUAUAUUAAAGAAAUUCGGUAUGAGAUGGGGAUGCGUUCCAUUAGUUUGUUGGGGGGGUAACGGCCCACCAAGACUACGAUGGAUAGGGGUUCUGAGAGGAAGGUCCCCCACAUUGGAACUGAGACACGGUCCAA